UGAAGUGAUGAGUUUGCUCAUGUCUCUUCUCUGACCUUUCACUGGAGAGAAUAUAAAAGCCUCUGAUCA
rnacentral:snoRNA from 1 species